CGGAUUGUAUUACAAUAAAAUAAAAAAGCAUGACGCCUGGGUGAAUAUUGGUCAAAACAUGCAGUGUGGUAGUGAAGAGGUAAAAAAGAAAAUGGAGAGCAUGUUGGCAAGUUUCAGGCGGGAAAAAUCCAAAGGCAAAAAAUCUGUUGGUACCGGUAAAGGUAGGCAAGAAGUGUAUAUAUCCAAAUGGUUUGCUUUCACCCGAAUGGCCUUUUUAUUAGACAGAGAUGAACCAACAGAAACAUUAACUUCUCUCAAUGAUGACACAGAAACGAUGGAGGCUGCUUCGCAAGAAGAUAUUGAGGAUUCCCUUGAUCAAUCUACAGAUAUAAAUGAUGAUCAUUCACAAAACGACAGAGGCA